rnacentral:rRNA from 1 species
GACAGAGGUGGCGAGCGUUGUUCGGAAUCACUGGGCUUAAAGGGCGAGUAGGCGGUAGGGCAAGUCUGAGGUGGAAUCCUAUGGCUCAACCAUAGAACUGCCUUGGAAACUGUUCUACUUGAGUCAGUGAGGGGAGGGCGGAAUUCCCGGUGUAGCGGUGAAAUGCGUAGAUAUCGGGAGGAAGGCCGGUGGCGAAGGGGGCCCUCUGGCGCUGUACUGACGCCGAGGCGCGACAGCGUGGGGAGCAAACAGG